GGGAGGGAGGCGGAGGGGAAAGUUUGUUUAUUUUGUUUUUAGUUUCUGGGGUCCCCGUGUUUCUCUGAGGUGAAGCGGGAGGGAGUGACCCCCCGAGCCCCUCAGUCCCCCAACUACGUCGCCUCCACAGCCUGCGGAGAAGCGGGGACCGCGCGCAUCGCAGCGCAUCGCCUCACAGCGGAACGCCGCGCACUCGGAGCCGGCACGGCUCGGCGGGUUUUGGUUUUUGCACUGAAUGUAGUCUAGACUCACCUUUACGGGCUUGUGUUGCCCCAGGAUACUGUCAAAGGCAGUAUUUGUGUGUUUCUGCAGAGUUUUGCACAGAGUCUGUUCCGAUGCAGACCAAUGAGGGAGAAGUAUCAGAAGAAAGCAGUUCCAAGGUGGAACAGGAGGAUUUUGUAAUGGAAGGGCAUGGCAAGACUCCACCUCCUGGUGAAGAAAGCAAACAAGAGAAGGAGCAAGAAAGGGAAGAACAGUUAAUGGAAGACAAGAAAAGGAAGAAAGAGGAUAAAAAGAAAAAAGAAGCCACUCAGAAGGUCACGGAACAAAAAACCAAAGUGCCCGAAGUGACGAAACCAAGUUUAAGCCAACCAGCGGCCGCCAGCCCAAUUGGCAGCUCUCCAUCGCCACCAGUCAAUGGUGGCAACAAUGCCAAAAGGGUGGCAGUGCCGAACGGACAACCGCCAAGCGCCGCCCGCUACAUGCCUCGGGAGGUGCCGCCGCGAUUCCGUUGCCAGCAGGACCACAAAGUGUUACUAAAACGUGGGCAGCCCCCUCCACCGUCCUGCAUGCUCCUCGGCGGCGGGGCAGGGCCUCCUCCCUCCACCGCGCCUGGAGCAAACCCCAACAACGCACAAGUGACAGGAGCGCUGCUGCAGAGCGAGGGUGGGACCGCACCAGAGUCAACCCUUGGAGGUGCUGCUGCUUCAAAUUAUGCAAAUUCCACUUGGGGCCCGGGAGCCUCCUCCAACAGCGGCGCCUCCCCCAACCCAGUUCACAUCUGGGACAAGGUGAUUGUAGACGGGUCUGACAUGGAAGAGUGGCCUUGCAUUGCCAGCAAAGACACUGAGUCUUCUUCCGAAAACACCACCGAUAACAACAGUGCCUCGAACCCUGGCUCUGAGAAGAGCACUCUGCCAGGAAGCACCACUAGUAACAAAGGAAAAGGGAGCCAGUGCCAGUCUGCAAGUUCCGGGAACGAAUGUAAUCUUGGGGUCUGGAAAUCUGACCCUAAGGCUAAAUCUGUUCAAUCUUCCAACUCUACUACAGAGAGCAACAGUGGACUAGGAAAUUGGAGGAAUGUGAGUGGUCAGGAUAGAAUUGGACCUGGCUCUGGCUUCAGCAACUUUAACCCAAAUAGCAACCCAUCUGCCUGGCCAGCGCUGGUCCAAGAAGGAAAUUCUAGGAAAGGGGCAUUGGAAACGGAUACUAGUAAUUCCAGUGCACAGGUUAGCACAGUAGGUCAGGCAUCCAGGGAACAGCAGUCAAAGAUGGAAAAUGCGGGUGUUAAUUUUGUUGUCUCUGGCAGAGAACAGGCUCAAAUUCAUAACACUGAUGGACCAAAAAAUGGAAACACUAACUCCUUGAACUUAAGUUCACCAAACCCCAUGGAGAAUAAGGGAAUGCCCUUUGGAAUGGGCUUGGGGAACGCCUCCAGGAGCACUGAUGCCCCUUCACAAAGCACUGGAGAUCGAAAGACUGGGAGUGUUGGAUCUUGGGGUGCAGCUAGGGGGCCUUCUGGAACUGACACAGCCUCUGGACAAAGCAAUUCUGGAAACAAUGGGAACAAUGGAAAGGAUAGAGAGGACUCCUGGAAAGGAGCUCCUGUUCAGAAAUCAACCGGGUCAAAAAAUGACUCUUGGGACAACAAUAACAGGUCUACGGGUGGGUCCUGGAACUUUGGCCCUCAGGACUCUAAUGACAACAAAUGGGGUGAAGGGAACAAAAUGACAUCUGGGGUCUCUCAGGGAGAAUGGAAACAGCCGACUGGGUCUGAUGAGUUGAAAAUUGGAGAAUGGAGUGGUCCAAACCAACCAAAUUCUAGCACUGGAGCAUGGGACAAUCAAAAGGGCCACCCCCUCCCUGAAAACCAAGGCAAUGCCCAGGCUCCCUGUUGGGGAAGAUCUUCCAGCUCCACGGGAAGUGAAGUUGGAGGUCAGAGCACUGGAAGCAACCACAAAGCAGGAAGUAGUGACAGUCAUAAUUCUGGCCGUCGGUCUUACCGGCCCACACAUCCUGAUUGUCAGGCUGUCUUGCAGACUCUUUUGAGCCGAACUGACUUGGACCCCAGGGUGCUCUCAAACACUGGCUGGGGCCAAACUCAAAUUAAGCAGGACACGGUGUGGGAUAUUGAAGAGGUGCCAAGGCCCGAGGGGAAAUCUGACAAAGGAACUGAGGGGUGGGAGAGCGCUGCCACACAGACCAAGAACUCAGGGGGCUGGGGAGACACACCCAGCCAAAGCAAUCAAAUGAAGUCUGGAUGGGGGGAGCUCUCAGCCUCUACCGAGUGGAAAGACCCCAAGACCACAGGCGGCUGGAACGACUAUAAGAACAACAACUCUUCCAACUGGGGAGGAGGACGACCAGACGAAAAGACAUCUUCCUCUUGGAAUGAGAAUUCCAGCAAGGAGCAGGGGUGGGGAGGUGGACGCCAGCCCAAUCAAGGAUGGACUUCCGGAAAGAAUGGUUGGGGAGAGGAGGUCGAGCAGGUGAAAAACAGUAAUUGGGAUAGUUCUGCCAGUAAACCUGUGUCUGGGUGGGGUGAAGGCGGGCAGAAUGAGAUUGGAACUUGGGGGAACGGUGGGAAUGCAGGCCUCGCUUCAAAAGGCGGGUGGGAAGAUUGCAAAAGAUCUCCAGCGUGGACGGAGACAGGCAGACAACCCAAUUCCUGGAACAAACAGCACCAACAGCAACAGCAGCCCCAGCAGCCGCCGCCACCACAGCCAGAGGCCUCUGGUUCGUGGGGAGGCCCAGCCCCACCACCUCCAGGCAACGGACGACCUUCCAAUUCCAACUGGAGCAGCGGGCCGCAGCCAGUAACCCCAAAGGAUGAGGAACCCAGCGGUUGGGAAGAGCCAUCCCCACAGUCGAUUAGUCGGAAGAUGGACAUUGAUGAUGGCACUUCAGCGUGGGGAGACCCUAACAGUUACAACUACAAGAAUGUGAAUCUGUGGGAUAAGAAUUCCCAAGGGGGCCCAGCACCUCGAGAACCAAACCUGCCUACCCCGAUGACCGGUAAAUCAGCGUCAGUCUGGAGCAAAAGCACACCACCUGCUCCAGAUAAUGGUACUUCAGCUUGGGGUGAGCCAAAUGAAAGCAGUCCUGGGUGGGGUGAAAUGGAUGACACAGGAGCAUCGACCACAGGCUGGGGGACCGCACCCUCCAACGCUCCAAAUGCCAUGAAACCUAAUUCCAAAUCUAUGCAAGACGGCUGGGGGGAGAGUGACGGGCCAGUGACAGGAACUCGCCAUCCCAGCUGGGAAGAGGAGGAUGAUGGAGGAGUCUGGAACACCGCCGGCUCUCAGGGAAGUGCUUCCUCCCACAACUCCGCAAGCUGGGGACAAGGAGGAAAGAAGCAAAUGAAGUGCUCACUAAAAGGAGGAAACAGUGAUUCAUGGAUGAAUCCUCUUGCCAAACAGUUUUCAAAUAUGGGACUGCUGAGUCAAACUGAAGAUAAUCCAAGUAGCAAAAUGGAUUUGUCUGUAGGGAGCCUUCCAGAUAAAAAAUUUGAUGUGGACAAGCGAGCAAUGAAUCUCGGGGAUUUUAAUGAUAUCAUGAGGAAGGAUCGAUCUGGGUUCCGUCCACCUAAUUCCAAAGACAUGGGAACCACAGAUAGUGGGCCUUAUUUUGAGAAGGGUGGCAAUCAUGGUUUGUUUGGAAAUAGCACAGCACAAUCGAGAGGUGUGCACACCCCCGUGCAGCCGCUGAAUUCUUCUCCUAAUCUCCGGGCGCAAGUGCCUCCCCAGUUCAUUUCCCCCCAGGUUUCUGCCUCAAUGCUCAAGCAGUUUCCCAACAGUGGCCUGAAUCCAGGUCUUUUCAAUGUGGGGCCCCAGUUAUCUCCUCAACAAAUUGCCAUGCUGAGCCAGCUUCCACAAAUUCCCCAGUUUCAGUUGGCCUGUCAGCUUCUCUUGCAGCAGCAGCAGCAGCAGCAGUUGUUACAGAACCAGAGGAAGCUUUCUCAAGCCGUGCGCCAGCAGCAGGAGCAGCAGCUGGCUCGAAUGGUGAGCGCCCUCCAGCAGCAGCAGCAGCAGCAGCAGAGGCAGCCCAGCAUGAAGCAUUCGCCAUCUCAUCCUGUUGGGCCCAAGCCGCAUCUGGACAACAUGGUACCCAACGCUCUGAAUGUGGGGCUCCCAGACCUUCAAGCCAAAGGGCCAAUACCUGGAUAUGGUUCUGGCUUCAGCUCUGGUGGCAUGGACUACGGCAUGGUUGGUGGGAAGGAGGCUGGAACAGAGUCUCGCUUUAAACAGUGGACCUCCAUGAUGGAGGGACUGCCCUCUGUAGCCACACAGGAAGCCAAUAUGCACAAAAAUGGCGCUAUAGUGGCCCCUGGUAAGACCCGAGGAGGGUCCCCGUACAACCAGUUUGAUAUCAUCCCGGGAGACACACUGGGUGGCCAUACGGGUCCUGCUGGUGAUAGCUGGUUACCUGCCAAAUCUCCACCAACAAAUAAAAUCGGAAGUAAAUCCAGCAAUGCCAGUUGGCCUCCAGAAUUCCAACCAGGAGUGCCAUGGAAAGGUAUCCAAAACAUUGACCCUGAAUCCGACCCCUAUGUCACCCCAGGAAGUGUGCUAGGGGGUACAGCCACAUCUCCCAUUGUAGAUACUGACCACCAACUUCUGCGGGAUAACACCACAGGGUCUAAUUCUUCCCUCAACACCUCGCUGCCUUCACCUGGUGCCUGGCCCUACAGUGCCUCUGACAACUCCUUUACCAACGUUCAUAGCACUUCAGCAAAGUUCCCUGAUUACAAAUCAACAUGGUCCCCGGAUCCCAUAGGACACAACCCCACUCAUCUCUCCAACAAGAUGUGGAAAAACCAUAUUUCCUCAAGGAACACUACACCGCUGCCCCGCCCGCCUCCCGGGCUGACCAACCCCAAACCAUCAUCUCCCUGGAGCAGCACAGCACCCCGCUCAGUCAGGGGGUGGGGGACACAGGACUCACGGCUUGCCUCGGCCUCUACCUGGAGUGAUGGUGGUUCAGUUCGUCCUAGUUACUGGCUGGUUCUUCACAAUCUCACUCCACAGAUUGAUGGGUCAACCUUGAGAACCAUCUGCAUGCAGCAUGGCCCACUGCUGACAUUCCAUCUGAACCUAACCCAGGGCACCGCCCUGAUCCGAUACAGCACCAAACAGGAGGCAGCCAAGGCGCAAACUGCACUGCACAUGUGUGUGUUGGGAAACACUACCAUCCUGGCCGAGUUUGCCACCGACGACGAAGUUAGCCGCUUCCUGGCACAAGCUCAGCCCCCUGCCCCUGCGGCGACCCCCAGCGCGCCCGCGGCGGGUUGGCAGUCCCUGGAGACCGGCCAGACCCAGUCAGAUCCCGUCGGACCUGCUCUGAAUCUUUUCGGUGGGUCCACAGGGCUCGGGCAAUGGAGCAGCAGUGCUGGUGGCAGCAGCGGGGCCGAUCUUGCUGGCGCUUCGUUGUGGGGGCCCCCAAACUAUUCUUCUAGCUUGUGGGGAGUCCCAACUGUGGAAGACCCCCAUAGGAUGGGCAGCCCUGCUCCUUUACUACCUGGUGACCUUCUGGGAGGAGGGUCGGAUUCAAUCUGAACUUAGAACUUUCAACUCUGACCUCGUGACCUUUUUUGGAACAGCAGCAGCACUAACUUGACCUUUUCGUUUUUUUUUUCAACUUGCAAUAAAUACAUUUUUAAAAGGAAAAAAGAAAACGGAGAGAGAAAAAAAGAGGUAUCAAGUGAAUGCUAAGGGCCAUUUCUAUAAUUCCUCAGAACUCCCCAAAGAGGAAAUCUAUCCCUCCGCAAGAUUCCUUCAGCUUCAUUCAGGAAGACACAGGGAGGAGAGAUGCUGCAGCUUCUGGGCCUUCACUCUCAUUCCUCUCUAAUGGCCUUGAAAUGUAUUAUUAUGCAAAUGUGAAUUUUGAUAUUGAAUUUAAGAAGAGGUUGUUGGGUUUUUCUUUUUUCAAAAAAAAAAAAGUUCCCAUAUGUGGUCAUCAUUGCUUCUUUACUUUGUAACGUGAAUUGUAACUAUGCAUUUUGCAAAGGGGGGGCAGGAGAGGGCAGAAAGGGGAAGGAGGUAGCUUUGCAUCCUUGUUCUACAGUUUCUGUGUCCAUGGUAUCCCCUUGAGCUGGCAGGGAAGGGGAGUGAAAGCAAGAAGCGGUAAGGUCGGCACAGUGAGGUAGAAAGAGACCUGUGAGUUCCGCCUGGCACUUCCUGGGGGGCCUGCAGUUCCUACCAACCAGUGUGGUACAGAAUCUCCAUCCUAGACGUGCAGUGUUAGCCUGGUGCAGCUGGAGGGCCCCAAAGGCCCCCGUGUUCUCCAGAAAAAAGUGCUCACCCUGUCCUGAAUUCAGAACCCUUUCAAGCCCAGGAAACCAUGCCUCACUUGUGCUGACCUUAAUUUUUAUGUCAUUUCAAAAAAAUUCCUCCUCCUCCCCAUCCUUGCUCCAUUUUAAUUUUUCUUUCUUCUUUCUUAGUUGUUUUUAAGUGAAUUUAAUUGUAAGGAAACUCUUUUGCUCUAUGGGGAAGAGGACUGUUGCUUCAUAGACAACCAAGGCUGCUCCUCCGCAUCCACUACCCCUCCGCCAUAUGUGGCCUGUCUGCUUCCCUUGCAGUUGUUAAGCUGUGUAUAGCUAGUGAGCAGUGAGGUGUUUGACAUGGGAAAGCCUACAGCCCCCUUCUAUGUCCUGACAGCAUCCCUCUGUUGAUCUUGCCUGCAGUGAGGCGUGGCCUCUGCAUUGCUCUGGUCUAGGCAUUAUUGGCAAUACACAGUAUCGUAAGCAAGAGACUGCUGUGCCCAGAGCCAGUGUUUCCAUACAGCAGUUUUGCUGUUGAUGUUCACAGUACUGUAACGAGUAACAGACUUGAUCACAGUCUCCUCGUGCCCCUGCAAGCCUGCACAGGCACGUUCUUAUCAGGGUUCCAAUCUGUUAGAUUGCCUUCAGACAAAAAAAACAAAACAAAACAAAAAAAUAAAAUUCUGAUGUUUCAGCUGUCUAACACAAAACAAUACCUCGAGGUACAUUUCCCCUGCAGCGUAGACCUUUAACUCCCCUCCUUUUCUGACAUCAGUGGUUAUCCUUGGAAAAAUAUGAAUGUGUAGAUAGCAGGAUAACUUUUAUGAUUUUUUCUUUGCUGUGAAAGUAACCCUAAAAUAUGAUGUUUUCCACUUUUUUUUUUUUUUUAAGCCAUCAGAAGUUUCGAUCUUAUUCUUUCAUGUCUAGCAAGAGAAAGCAGAACAGGUCAGGGGAGUGGACUGCAUUUUUGGAGUGGUGUUCUCUCCAUUGCCUCCCAUACACAGUGACGACAGACCAGUGUUUAAACCCUGUUUUGAAUAGAUGCCAUCUAUUCCAGCUCUAGUUCCAGGGUGGGCAGUGUCUGGAUUUCUUUCUUCUGGAAGAUCCAUCCCCUCCAGGGACUCCAGAAUGUUUCUACCUGAGACCUUGAGCUCUCAACCUUUCUUGGUUCAAACACACACACACACACACUUUGAGUAACUGAGUAGCAUUCUGUAGAUCAUAAGGAGAAUCAGUCCUUGGCAUUUCAGUUUUGUGCCGUAGAAUUCAUAGCCUUGUCGCUUUGCGAUGCUCUGGAGAUGAACUGAUUUCUUACUUAGAAGGAAACUCAUCUGAGACGUGCAGGCAACCUCCCUGAAAGGCCCGCGCAACCUCCCUGAAAGGCCCGCGCAACCUCCCUGAAAGGCCCGCGCAUCCUCAGACGUUCCUCCCUCUACGAGGCUUGAAGCUGACGUGAGGUGGAGGAAAAUCAGUCUAAUAAGUGCUGCUCGUAGGGAUCUGCCAGCUACUGCUCUCCUAGAUGUGGCCGCUCGUGAGGCAGGAUCAGAACAGAUCGCUUUGAAUAGCUUCUUCGCAAACCCUCUAGCUCCCCCCAUCUUAAAGACAAACCCUGUAUCUGUCAUGAAGCCCUUUUUAGGUUGGGCUCACUGAUCUUUGUCUAGUGACGACUUCCUUUGAGGGAAGGAAGCUUGAUAAUAAAUGCAUGCAUGUUCACCACGCACCUUCCGAUUUGGGCGCUGUCGACCUGCAGAUUUUAUUUCUGUUGUUUGUGUGGAGGCCCCUUUUCUAUCAGUCUCCUUCCUCUGGUCCCUCCUGAGUUUUUCCUGCCCUUCUGUCCCUCUGCGAUGCUCCCAAAGGGCUCUGCUGAUCUCUGCACGUCUGUCCUGGGACACUCCCCCCACCUCCCUUUGCACACACCAGUGACCAAAGUGUGUCCAGUGAUCUCGCAGAAGACAUCAAAAAUGGUGCAUGCACCGCGAAUGUGCUCACAGAGACACGUGCACAAGAUUCUGCACCCUUGGCCUUAACCUCAGUAUGACUUAAGGUGCAGGAACAUUUUUAACAGGUUUUAAAAAAACAAAAAAAACACCCUUCUAGGAGGAAAAAAAAAAAAAAAAGAUGCAACAGCUCAACUGUGCCCACUCCUAACUCUCCACUAUUUGCUUACAACUUACUUUGUGCCCGCCCCACCCCCUCCCUGUUUCGAGUAACCAAAAACAGAUAACAGAAGCAACCGGAGGAGAGGUUUCUGGACUAUUUUCUCUUUCUCCAUUUAGAUGGAGAUAUAUAUGCUGCUUUGGGUUCCAUAAUCCUAGGGGGCUGUGUUUACAUAGUAAAAUACAUCCUACCAAAUCAGGAAACUGAAUAAUGGGCAUCUCUGCAGUGAGAGUUAGGUCACUGAUGGUGAACAAGAGAAGUGAGGGCCCUGGGGGGACGGCACAGAGGAGAAGCGGAGCAGUACUGCCUGAUGGCCUGGGACACAUUGCUCCUCUCUCCUCCCUCCUCCCUCCGCUUCUCUCCUUGCCCCCUUUCACAGAAGAUGCAGAGAAGGGCAUCAGAAAGAGGCUGGAUCUUUAAAAGGCAGCUUUCCAACUUUGCACACAAACAGGUAACAGGAAGGUACAGCAAAAAUCCUCUCAUCUGAAACACUGUCCGCAGAAACAAAACCUGUAAACGUGACUAAAUAGCUGCACAAGUUUGAUGCUCUCUGCAAGUUACCUAGAAGUGUUUUGUUUUUCUUAUACUUGAAAUAGCUUUUACAAUAUUAUUUUGGUGGCUUUCUUUUCUCUCUUCUGGUGGGCGAUAGAAAAAGUGGAUGACGGGAUUAAAGGAAGUUUGAGGGGAGAAAAGGGAGGAUAUGGCAUUGUUUUUUUGGUUUUUUGUUUUUUUUCUCUUAGAGGUUUAAUCAAACUCCCAUAUGCUGAAAUUGCUCCUCAUAUGACUGGUUUUACAUGGACACAGAAACUAGGCACUUUAGAGGUGCACUUGCAUGGCAGGCUGGGCCCCCCUUUUCUAUAUUUUAUUUUACUUUUUUAGUAUAGUGGUACUUAAAAUCACUGGUUCACUUAAAAAACAAACAAUAAAAUGUUAAACUCUACUAAUGUACAAAUAAGCUGAAAAGUUGCAUUUUAUGUGUAUUUUUUGCCAUAGCAGGUACUGUAUUUCUCAUGCUGGAUUUCAAAAAAAAAAAAAAAGUCAAAAACAAAAAAAAACUAAAGGGUGGUCUUUUAUUGGAUUGUGACAGGUUGAGUAAUAAGGAAUUAAGUCGCCGUCAUUUCAUUAAAACUGAGAGAUGAUGUAAUGCAUAUAUAAGAGUUUUCUGAAGGGUUUUUUUGGGCUUUUAAACAGCUUAUUUUGUUUUUGUUUAGUUUUUUAUUUUAUUUUAUUUUGGAAAGAUAUGAUUGUAUUAUGUGCAACUCAGUUGCUUACAUUAUAACUACAAAAUAUUUUUGGGUUCCUGGAAAAAAAAAAAAAAAAGAAAAAAGACUAAUAAAUGUGUUUGGCUGCUAAGCAUUUAUUGUGGUUUCCUGUUUUAUUCUGCCAGUUUAAUUUGUUCGUUUGUUGAAUGUUUUAUAUUUUUUCUACUCUUCUCCCUCGCUCUGCUCCACACAUAAAAGCUGCUGACAUUCAGCAUCUGAACUGGGCCUCCACUUUGUCUCUAUUGUCUCGUUAUGUUUGUGUUCUUGGGAUUGUCAGGUUGACCAGCUGGUCAUGGGUUUGUGCCCCUUGCCAUGCUGCUGGGUUCAGAUUCUCUGAAAGAAAUUCAUGUUCUCCUGCUACCUUUCGUUGUCGUCCUGUUUGAGGCUCAUGUGCAUUUGGAGUGAAGACACUAGAGUGGAGGAGAGCAGGGGGACGAUGCCUGCCUGGGGCUCUGCAGCAGCCUGGGAAGGUGACCACGAGCCAGCUCUGUCCACGGAGCCGCCUGCCGGCGCCCCCACCCAGCUUCCAGUGCUCACCACUGCUGGGGAGCGGGCGAGCCUUACCCUAAGGGCCCAUCUGAACAGUUUCUUAUUAUCCUUAGCUGCUAGAGACUUGUUAGACAUGUGAUCUUGCAACACUGCUAGAAUGGCAAAGGGGAGCAAUGGAAGGAAGCUGAUACUUUCUAAUUCCCAGGUAAUUUUGUGUUUGACUUAAUUGUCAGAAUGCUGUGUGGAAUAGGUAGUAGCAAACCCAUUUCGUGAGGAAACUGCAGCUCAGCAUAAUUUAAUCAGCUCUAGCAGGUAACACUGAGUGCUUGCUUUCUGUAAGCUAGGCACUGCUCUAAGCACACCAUGUAAA